rnacentral:rRNA from 1 species
UACGUAGGGAGCAAGCGUUGUUCGGAUUUACUGGGCGUAAAGGGCGCGUAGGCGGUAAAUUAAGUCAGCUGUGAAAUCUCCGAGCUUAACUCGGAACGGUCAGCUGAUACUGAUCUGCUAGAGUGCGGAAGGGGCAAUCGGAAUUCUUGGUGUAGCGGUGAAAUGCGUAGAUAUCAAGAGGAACACCUGAGGUGAAGACGGGUUGCUGGGCCGACACUGACGCUGAGUGCGCGAAAGCCAGGGGAGCAAACGGG